CAGUGUGUAGCAUAGUGGUUAAGGAGCAGGCCUCAUAAGCGAAAGGUUGUGGGUUCGAUUCCCCACACAGG